CGCCAUCCUGAAGAUGCAAUACCAAUUAUAUGUAAGGGACAAACAGGCUGAAUAUUUUUCUCGGACUUUGGAUCAGCUUUGACCUAGCUGUCACUGAGGCAGAAGCUAAUGAGUGUCUCCCAAGAUAAAAGGAAUAAAGUGACUAAAGAAUCAAAAGAAGCAUGACCAUCAGCAGUUCAAGGAAGGAGAUUCUGCCUCUCUAUUCUGCUCUCAUGAGACUCUACCUUGAGUACUGGAUCCAGUUCUGAGGUCCCCAACAUGGGAAGGAUACUUACCUGUUGAAGCAAAUCCAAAGAAAGGCUACCAAGUUGAUGAGAGGAAAUGCAAGCUGAUUUCACAGCAGUGGCAAAAGACACAUUUCUUAAUAUCUGGAAAAUACUUGGCAGUGUGAUAUGAUCCGUGUUUUCAAGGACAGAUCUUAAACUACACUUUCAAAAGGCAAAGACAUAAAUCAAUGGAAAGAUGUUCUUGUAAACUGGAUACAGCAGGUUUUCUGUCUCUUCCUUCUCUUCUAAUUUUAUAUGCUUUUCAAGUACCAAAUGGAAAUGCUGAUGUGAGUAAAGUUUUCUAAAGCAUAACUUUCAAGGCAAUAGAAAGAAUAAUAGCACACCUGGCUGACUUUCUAUUAACAUAUUGAUGAAACUAUAAACCAUCAGAAAUUUUUCUUCAACAAACUUUUAUUUAAUGCAAAUAUAGUUGUAUUCCUAUGAAAAUAUUCUUUCAUAAUCCAAAUUCAUUGCUAAUGAGCUAAUAAGGAAACACUACACGUUUUCAUUUUGUCAUUGCUGUUUUACUAAUAUAGAAAAUGUUUAUGUCAUUCCAGGGAAUUCUUAUCUUUGUUUGUGAACACCAGAUCUUCUGCCUGUAUAUGUGUAUAUGUGUUCAUGAAAUUGUCUGCAGGUUUGAAAUGUUCUCACUGAAGAGGGCAAAGGAAAGUUUUGUUAGACAACACACUUGAACAAGUCAAAAUUCUUUUUUUGAAAUUAUCCUCCCCUCCUUCUGCACUCCCCUAAUCUUGUUUCCAUUAUAUCAUCCAGCAUAUGGGAAAUUUUAUGCAGAUUAUGCAUAUAGCUAAUUUUCCGAUAGUGUCAUAUUUUCAUAUAACUUCUGGAAAAUCCUGAGAUUAAAAACCCCCAUAUUUUGUUUUUUGAGCAUCACCAUAUUAGGGCACUGUUUCU